rnacentral:snoRNA from 1 species
AACCCAUAGUGAAUGCACCUUCUCAAUAAAUCCUUGUAUCUCUCCCAUGCAUCAUAAAGUGUUUCUAAAUCCAUCUGCACAAAAGAAGAGAUAUCAUUCCUCAACUU